UAGGGAAUAUUGGACAAUAGGGGCAACCCUGAUCCAGCCAUGCCGCGUGAGUGAAGAAGGCCCUCGGGUUGUAAAGCUCUUUUGUCCGGAAAGAAAAGCAUUCGGUGAAUACCCGGAUGUUCUGACGGUACCGGAAGAAUAAGCACCGGCUAACUUCGUGCCAGCAGCCGCGGUAAUACGAAGGGUGCAAGCGUUACUCGGAAUUACUGGGCGUAAAGCGUGCGUAGGUGGUUGUUUAAGUCUGAUGUGAAAGCCCUGGGCUCAACCGGGGAAUGGCAGUGGAAACUGGGCAGCUAGAGUGCGGUAGAGCGUAGUGGAAUUCCCGGUGUGGCAGUGAAAUGCGUAGAGAUCGGGAGCAACAUCUGUGGCGAAGGCGACUGCCUGGACCAGCACUGACACUGAGGCACGAAAGCGUGGGGAGCAAACA
rnacentral:rRNA from 1 species